AUGAGCGAUGCGCUACACCUUUAUUUUCGCCAAAAUUUCAUUUCCGUAAUUGAUUUCCCCUAACACAUUACACAUGCCCAGUCCACGGUCCCCGAUCUCCAUUGCUGUCGAUCGAAGGAAAUCCCUAAUCCAUAUGAUAGGAGCGGCGAUGAAGAAAAUGGGAGAAAGUCGUCGUCACCAGAAUCGUGUGCGCGCAAUUUCCACCGUCGGCUAACUAUCUCUUCCCAAGUUUGACCCAGAGAAUCGCUGUCUCCAAGUCAGUCACUCCCCUACAUUUUCAUCCACUAAAAUACCUUCUUCAUCCAUUGACCUCAACAUCUCCACACUCUUUGCCCGGAACAUUCCCUUCACAAAGCCCCAAUUCUUCCCCAAUGUAUACUUCUCUUGUAAGUUCCUCACAAUUUGCAGAAUGAUGUCAACUGUUAUACCUGAUUGCAUUUAUACUUUUAUACUCGAUUGCAUUUAUACUUGUUUUUUCCCUUUUUAAUUUUGAUAUUAUUGUUUUCCCUUUGAAUAUUACUGCUUGUGUGUCGUCAAUAAUUUAAAUAUUUCUUUUGUUUCUUUCUCCCUAUUUAGUAAUUCACAAUUUUGAUUUUGAACAUAACUUUUGUUUCAGAGUUAUAAAGUGCAUAUUUCUCUCUUUUACAAAGGGAAAGUCUCACACUCACACAUAUAUUGAAAUUUGUUAUCAAGGCAACAUCUAACACAAAGGGGUGCAAUGCUCGCAUUCUGUGAUGGAUGUCUAGAGAGGGCAGCUUGAUAUAUGCAAUCUUACUUCCACAUGGAGGAACUGUUCUUGUGACUUGAACAUAUAAAUUUAGGCUUGAGGCUUUGAUGCAACACCCUACCAUCUUUAGUUAUGUUAAUUAAUUUCUUUUGGGGGGCAAAAAGCAUUAACUUCCUCUAAGGUUUCCAAAAUUUCAAAGACCUCACCUGAGGUUUCAAGAAUUUCAGGGAUCUCCAUUGAAGUUUGCUAAAAAGAUAAAAGUCUCCUCUUGUAUUUUGUAAAGAGACAUGUCUUUUGAACAAAGGUUUGUGUUUUUUUGGCAAAUCUUAGGAAAGGUUAAUGAAAAUUUUGAAAUCUCAAGCGAGACCCUUGUCUUUUUAACGAAACCUCAGGAGAGGUCAGUGUCUUUUGCGCUUUUUUUUUUUUCUCAUUUCAAUGGUUUCUGUGCUGACUUUCCAAUUUGCUAUGAGACUGCCUCUUAAGUGUAUGAUUGAAACAUGAUGGUGAUAAUAUUGUAGUAGUGUAUGUCUGCUAAAGAUUUUGGCCAAGAAAGAAGGUGCUUUGGAUGUGUCACUAUAGGCUGUGUCAUCAAUUAGUUCAUCUAUUAUAGCAUUAUUAUUUUGAGCUAGCCCUUUUUUAAUACAUUUAUUAUUUUUAUUUGAGACCUAAAGGUGAUAAUGAUUUAUGUUUUGUUAAGGGUUACUACAUUUCAGCACAGGAUUACUCAACAAUGAUAUUGAUAGUUUGCCACAUAAAUGCAUAGCGUGUUUUUUGGGCAUUUUGUACUCUACUUACUACUUUCUUUUGGUUUUAAAUAUUUUUGUGGUUACCUCUGCUCUGUAUGACUGUAUUUGGUCAUUUUAGCUACGUUAACCACAUAUUGUGGAGUGAAUUUCUCUUUGUAAUUGAGGAAAUUGCCAUUGACUUUGCUUUUAACAAGCGAAACUUUUAUCACAGCAGGCAAUGAUUGUCAAUUAACUUCUUGUUUUAGAAA